GUGGUGAUGCUCUCUGAGCGUUAACUAUAUCCAUCUACACCUGUGAACUGUUGAUUGACUUCGGUCAAUUACUUUUACAAACAUUGUGUAAUGAACGUCAUGUUAUUAUAACAAAAAUAACUUUCAACAACGGAUCUCUUGGCUCUCGCAUCGAUGAAGAACGCAGCGAAAUGCGAUAAGUAAUGUGAAUUGCAGAAUUCAGUGAAUCAUCGAAUCUUUGAACGCAACUUGCGCUCUCUGGUAUUCCGGAGAGCAUGCCUGUUUGAGUAUCAUGAAAUCUCAACCAUUAGGGUUUCUUAAUGGCUUGGAAUUGGGUGUUGCCAGUCGCCUGGCUCGCCUUAAAAGAGUUAGCGUGUUUAACUUGUCUAUCUGGCGUAAUAAGUUUCGCUGGUGUCGGCUUGAGAAGUACGCUUCUAAUCGUCCUCGGACAAUUCUUGAACUCUGGUCUCAAAUCAGGUAGGGCUACCCGCUGAACUUAAGCAUAUCAAAA
rnacentral:rRNA from 1 species